AGAGGCCUCUGCUCUGCCAGCCUGGGAGUCAUCUUCACCCUCAGGCUGGUAGACUCCAGUCUCUUAGGUCAGAAUGGGAUUAGAGACCCGUUCCUGAACCAGUCACACACAGCGGGUGAAACUGCUAUGAUUGGUUUAGACUUAGAGACUGGAAUGGAUGCUGGCCUAGAAGCGAAGACACAUAGAAGCAAUGUGUACCUAGACUGUUGUCCUAAAUGCCAUUUCCUACCAGGAAGGAACCAGAGUCUUUGCAGAAAUGUAUCAUUUCACAUCUGGAUCCUUAGAAUAUACACAAAGUUUUCAUGGACCACACAUUAUGAAACACUGGAUUAGCGCAAAGUGAAAUGCUUCCAGAGUAGGAGCCACUAUUCUGAGGAAUCUUGGAAGAAAAAUCCCCAGAUAGCAGAUGACUGGUAGGAAGAUGAGGCAAGUUUGCGGUCCAUUGUCAUGGAUAGUGGAGACAACACUGGGCCAGAAGUGGUAAGACCUGAAUCCAAGACUCAGCUCUGCCACUUGCUAAAUGGGACUUUGAAUAAACCAUUUCUCUGCACUUAAGUUCCUUACCAACAAAACGAGGGAAGUGGCCUACAUGCCUAGAUAUCAACAUUUCAUGUCACGUAGAGAUCUAGCAUCACAAGAAUCCAAGUCAUCCUCUGUUGCCUUUAAGAAAUUAGAAUUAAAGGAAUCAGAAUUGAAGUGAAUCUGACUACACUAAGCCUAUCACUUGUGACAGCCAUGGGAAGAUAUCAUUGGUUGCUGAGGAGCAGAAAUAAGCAGAGACCUAUUGUGUUAGGUUAUCAUUCAUUUCAGACAAAAAGCAGAUCAGCAAGUUUUCAUAUUGCACUAUUUUCAAUGGCUGGAGCAUCAACAUUUUACAACAAGAAAAAAAUUAAAAUUCUUCAACAUUUGGAAAAGAAGUGUUUGUAAAACUUUUCACAUCCAUUCACCAUCCGGAAAAGCAAGGUUUUACAGUGAGGCCUGAUGAUGUCUAGAGUCACCAUGCAUCUUGGAAAAUGACCUCCUAUUUAUUUCUUCUACAGGACACCAUGGUGUUCACCUUUCUACAACUUUACACUUGCUGAGGACAUAUUGUGGAAAAUUAAGAGAAAUAUAUAUGGAUGGCCAAGGCUGUAGAUGGAUGUCCAAGCCUUUUUACUGGGGAAUGUUUUCAGAACAAAAUGAGUUACAGGUUCAAGAGUGAAACCCAACAAAUCUUGGCUCUUUUUUUCUCUACUAAAUUCCAAAUCAAAA
rnacentral:lncRNA from 1 species